rnacentral:lncRNA from 1 species
AUGUUGGCAUUCUCACCAAUAUCAACAAUUAACAUUAAAAAUCCCGCUGACUUCAGUGGGAGCAGAGUUAGGUCUGUACUGAGCAUUUACUACAUCCCCAGCAACUCCUGUAACUCCUGCGGUUUCCAGAGACACCCACGCGAGGGUAUGAAUCUACAUAAUAAUGGGUGUUCAGGGAAGCAAGAGACAAAUAUAGAGUAUAUUCCAGAAAGGCUCAGCUGGGGAAUGGAGGUGAAGGGCCAGGGGGUGCGUUGCAGGGAAGACAGACAGAAGGGAAGAAGGUUAGCAGAAAAAUUGAAAAAACAUGUUCACAAAACGAGGCCUUUUUCUUGCGGCAUUAGAUGAAUACCUCUCUCGCCUUGUGACCCUGGGUUUUGUUGUCCUGCAGCAGGUUUUGGAGCUGAGUGGACUGACAGGAGCUUCUCCAGCCCCUGCAUCAAGGUUUAUUGGCAGGAGGAGAGGCCAGGGAGCCCGUCCCGAUGACGAGCCCGCAUCCCGCACACCUCCUGCGCCAGCGUUCGCUCUCUCGGAGCAUGGAGGAUGCGGCUCUCCCCAGCCCGGGUCUGAGGACAUCCUGAACGCCCUUUUCCCCAUUCAUCUUACUUGAUAUUCGGGAUGCUGAAAACCUGUUGUGAAGCAUGGAGUGUCUUGCAGGAUGGGGCAAUACUGACUUCAAAGUACCAUCAUUAAGCCUGUUCUCAACAGGAAGGAAGUUAAAUGUAAGUGAUGUGGAGAAGCAGCGGUUUGUAUUCACAUCUGUCUCCCAUGCUGAGGCAGGUGCCAUCCAGAGCGGGCUGGGCUCAGAGCUGCCCCGAGCUUCCCACCAGAGACUUCUCGCAGGGAUCUCAGCCACGCACACGGUUGGGAGCAGUCUGGGAAAUCCAUCCAGGUUAAGCAACGCAAUAUAAAUCAGAAUCUGUGGCAGAAAUCUGUGGAAAGCUGUCAGCAAAGUGUUCCAGCUUCUAAGAUUUCUGAACAGUAUCAAAGGAUGUUUCAUCCAAUAGGUGAUGCAGGAACACCCUUCCCUUGAAACUGGAAAAAUAUUAUGAUCAGAUGACUGAAAAAAAUAAUUUUCUGUCAUAGUAUUUGUGAUAUUGUUAUUAUUUUAUCUACAAUUAUUCCUGAGUAUCCCCUCUGUGUUAUUCCUAGGGGAUCCAGGCUACACCCUUGGACAAUUUGGAUCCCAGGCCAUGGAGGACAGGUGAUAGAAGUCAAUUAGAUGCACGGCAAUAGGCAUAAAACAAGGGCUUGAUUAUGAGAUAACCAAGCUACUCACCACUCGGGAGAUCAGUGCAUGGAGAAGUUAAAUCAGAGGUCUACAGUCAUACUGAAAGUCAUUAAGGAA